rnacentral:lncRNA from 1 species
CUGUGCCACUGCAGUGACAACACAAAGCCCUUAACCACUAGGCCACAGGAAACUCCCUCCUUUGUUCUUAUAAUGGCUACACAAGCUCUGUAAUAUGGAUGGAGUGGUCAUUUGUUUCAUUCUUCCACCACUGGUGAACAUGUAGACUGUGAACAACUAAUCCUUAUUACAAAGGAUGCCACAAUGUGCCACCUUGUGCAUGCCACUUCAUUCACACAGGUGAACUAUUUUCUGGGAUAAAGUCCCCCUGAGUUUCUAUUACUUUAAAUUGACUCCUGUGUCUGCUGUGUCCCAGUAAUUACUUAUAUCUCUGAUUCAGAAAGGCAGAAAUGGAUGCCUACAGGUUCCCAGAAAUGUAACUAUCAGCCUUCAGAACAAAAUUCAUAUCUCCCUUAAAGUAUACCCUGCCUAGUUAAGAACUCACUUUCAGGUCAUUCUGUAUCAUUAACCCAGAACACUCGCGCCCUGGUUCUUCAGUGCUGUUAACCACGACCUCCCAGUGAGAGUAAGUUUUGAGAGUUCUGAAAGUCUGAUUAAAGAAGACAGCACUUGUUUGACCCUGGGCAAUGAGGGCUUAUGCAAAGUCCUGAUCAGGUUUCGGGAAGGAUGCACACACCCCUGUGGGACUUCAAGACCUCUUCAAGGAGACACAACUCAAAGCCUCUGGCCAAGACAAGAAUUAUCAGACCCUUAUCAUCAUGCUGCUGUCUCACUAUAAUGCCACACACCCCACUUUUCAGCCACUUGGCCCACUCCUUCCUACCUCUACUAAGAAAAGUAUGUGGCCCACUACUCACUGCACCCCUAUAGGGGAAAUAUAGGUCUCCAACCAACCAGCAAGUGUAUUGGAAGACCCCAUCUUUCCCCUUUGUCUCUAGGCUACAAAAACAGAUAUGACAAAUCCCUGGGUCAGCUAUCCCUGAUUAUCAAGAAGUCAGCCCUCUGUGUUAACAGCAUCUCUUGUCUCAAUAAAGUUGUCUUGCUUUGCAUCUGGAAAUUCUUCUUCUGAUCUAUGUGCACAGGCCAUGACCCCUCCCCCUCUGCCCCCCAAAAUAGACAUGGAACCAAAUACAGAAGCCAGCUGUAGAGAAUUUGAAGCUAAAAUCAUCUUUUUCUUCAUCCAAUUUUCUUCAUUAUCUAUUACAGAAUAUUAAACCUUUUUCUUAAUUGAUCUAGGCAAAGCUUUCUGCUUGUUCCUGUUUGAGGUCAUUGUGGCGAGAAAUACCGUAAUAACUGAGUUGGAUUGCCUAAUCACAAGAUGGCAAUUCCCAGAAUGAGAUUCUGCACCCAGAGCUGCUCUAUCAAGCAAACUGACCAAUACACUUCCUCUGCACUUCCCAUGCCCAUGGUUAGCACAGGUUUAAUAAUUGGAAGCCAAGACAUAGAGUGAAGCUCGUGAUGGAAACUGUAAGGCAGGUGUGGUCUCUAAAAAGAUGUGGUUUUUGGAGUUCCCAGGCGGCCCAGCAACUUUAGGAUCCCAAGUUGUUACUGCUGGGACUCAGGUUACUUACUACUGUGGCAUGGGUUCGAUCCCUGGUCUGGGAACUUCCACAUACUAAGAGUUCCCUUCGUGGCUCAGCAGUUAAUGAACCCGACUAGGAUCCAUGAGGAUGAGGGUUCGAUCCCUGGCCUUGCUCAGUGGUUAAGGAUCUGGCAUUGCCAAGAGCUGUGGUGAGGCUGCAGGCACAGCUCAGAUCCUGUGGGGCUGUGGCUGUGGUGUAGGUCAAUAGCUGUAGCUCCAAUUCAACCCCUAGCCUGGGAACUUCCAAAUGCCACAACUGCGGCCCUAAAAAAAGGCAAAAAAAAAAAAAAAGAAAGAAAAGAAAGAAAAAGACGUAGAU